AGCAGCCGCGGUAAUUCCAGCUCCAAUAGCGUAUAUUAAAGUUGUUGCAGUUAAAAAGCUCGUAGUUGAAUUUCGAGAUCAGUACGCUGGUCGUGCCUUCGGUAUGCACUGGUGUCACUGGUUUCUCCCUUCUGAAGAACCGUCAUGUCAUUAAGUUGGUGUGGCGGGGAAUCAGGACUGUUACUUUGAAAAAUUAGAGUGUUUAAAGCAGGCUCGCGCUUGAAUACAUUAGCAUGGAAUAAUGAAAUAGGACGUUUGACCCUAUUUUGUUGGUUUCUAGGAUCGACGUAAUGAUUAAUAGGGAUAGUUGGGGGCAUUAGUAUUCAAUUGUCAGAGGUGAAAUUCUUGGAUUUAUUGAAGACUAACUACUGCGAAAGCAUUUGCCAAGGAUGUUUUCAUUAAUCAAGAACGAAAGUUAGGGGAUCGAAGACGAUCAGAUACCGUCGUAGUCUUAACCAUAAACUAUGCCGACUAGGGAUCGGAUGAUGUUAAUUUUUAAUGACUCAUUCGGCGUACCCG
rnacentral:rRNA from 1 species